GUUCCGGUAUCAGGAUAUAAAAGCCUUCAAGCCGAGUGAGAUAUCAGUCUUAUUCACCUGCAGUUUGAGAUAUUGGGGGAUUUUCAUUAUAACAGUUUGACACAUCAAUAUGAAUCAACUAAAACUGAUCCUUCUUAUCGCCUGCUUUACUUCUUUCUUGUUCACCGAACUGGCCAACGCACACUUUCGUCUCGGCCGGGGAAUGGAGCGAGCCGGCGAGGUGCCCCUGGAAGAAAGGAGGGCCGCCCUGCAUGACACUGGCUUCCUAGAAGCGAGAGUAGAGGCCAAGAGGGAAAUGUUUUUGAAACGUUUGGAAAACCUCUUAGAUAAAUAUGAAACAAGAGUGCGACGCAGUGAGGACACGGAGAAUUAAUUAAGGAAUGCGGGAUUUUGCAGUUAAAGAAAAAAAUACAGAAAAUAUGAGGGACCCACGAAUAUUUUCGCUAACUAGUUGUAGAUGUAAUAGGACAUAGUGUCACUCAAGAGUUUCAAAGUGAAAUACUUAAAUGAAUAUUCAGCACCUCUAGUAUCAUUUCAAAUCGUGUGUCGUAACAGUUGUCUGUAACAGCUGCCAUUGUUAAAUCACUUAAAUUAGCAAGUUCUUGACAUCAUUGCAAAUGAGGUGUAUAUUAAAUACUUGAAGUACAACGUAA